CUCAGGGGAAGAAGGUGAACAUCUAUACAGAUACUAGGUUGGGCGGAAACCUACCCAAUAGCCAAAGCAAAUGCCAAGAAUACGGCAAAGAAACUGGUCAGUGAACUGAUAUGCAGAUCCUGACUUAAUAGAAGGAACUCACAACUUGCAGCCCAGAGACUGGGUGGUGAUAAAAAGACAUGCGAGAAAAGGACUAGUUCCAAGAUUCGAUGGUACAUUUCAAGAACUGUUGACCACCCACACCGCUGUAAAGGUUGAAGGAAAACCCAACUGGAUACACG